UGGUACCGAGGAGCGCUGCAGCGGUCAAUUCCGUGAGGCUCGUACCAAUGGACAACCCAACAACGGCGCUCUUUCACU
rnacentral:ncRNA from 3 species